AUUGAACGCUGGCGGCAUGCCUAACACAUGCAAGUCGAACGGCAGCGCGGACUUCGGUCUGGCGGCGAGUGGCGGACGGGUGAGGAAUACAUAGGAAUCUGCCCAGUCGUGGGGGAUAACGUAGGGAAACUUACGCUAAUACCGCAUACGACGGCGACGUGAAAGCAGGGGAUCUUCGGACCUUGCGCGAUUGGAUGAGCCUACGUCCGAUUAGCUAGUUGGCGGGGUAAGAGCCCACCAAGGCGACGAUCGGUAGCUGGUCUGAGAGGAUGGUCAGCCACACUGGGACUGAGACAAGACCCAGACUCCUACGGGAGGCAGCAGUGGGGAAUAUUGGACAAUGGGCGCAAGCCUGAUCCAGCAAUGCCGCGUGGGUGAAGAAGGCCUUCGGGUUGUAAAGCCCUUUUGUACGGGAAGAAAGCUUUCGGGUUAAUACCCUGGGAGGAUGACGGUACCGUAAGAAUAAGCACCGGCUAACUUCGUGCCAGCCGCCGCCGUAA
rnacentral:rRNA from 1 species